GAUGAACGCUGGCGGCGUGCUUAACACAUGCAAGUCGAACGAAGAUACUUAAAAUGAGAGCUUCGGCAGGAUUUUUAUUUAUCUUAGUGGCGGACGGUGAGUAACGUGUGGGCAACCUGCCCUAUACUGGGGAAUAAUCACUGGAAACGGUGACUAAUACCGCAUGUCAUCACGAGAAGGCAUCUUUUUGUGAGAAAAGGAGUAAUUCGGUAUAGGAUGGGCCCGNAUCUGAUUAGCUAGUUGGUGAGAUAACAGCCCACCAAGGCGACGAUCAGUAGCCGACCUGAGAGGGUGAUCGGCCACAUUGGGACUGAGACACGGCCCAAACUCCUACGGGAGGCAGCAGUGGGGAAUAUUGUACAAUGGGGGAAACCCUGAUGCAGCGACGCCGCGUGGAGGAAGAAGGUCUUCGGAUUGUAAACUCCUGUUGUUGGGGAAGAUAAUGACGGUACCCAAC
rnacentral:rRNA from 1 species